AAAGAGGCCCUUUUCAGGGCCAACACAGGGCAAACUGCAAAGGUACU
rfam:Operophtera brumata OBRT01_Sc03688, whole genome shotgun sequence.